CCCAUGUGAACGUUACCAAACUGUUGCCUCGGCGGGAUCUCUGCCCCGGGUGCGUCGCAGCCCCGGACCAAGGCGCCCGCCGGAGGACCAACCAAAACUCUUUUUGUAUACCCCCUCGCGGGUUUUUUAUAAUCUGAGCCUUCUCGGCGCCUCUCGUAGGCGUUUCGAAAAUGAAUCAAAACUUUCAACAACGGAUCUCUUGGUUCUGGCAUCGAUGAAGAACGCAGCGAAAUGCGAUAAGUAAUGUGAAUUGCAGAAUUCAGUGAAUCAUCGAAUCUUUGAACGCACAUUGCGCCCGCCAGUAUUCUGGCGGGCAUGCCUGUCCGAGCGUCAUUUCAACCCUCGAACCCCUCCGGGGGGUCGGCGUUGGGGAUCGGCCCUCCCUUAGCGGGUGGCCGUCUCCGAAAUACAGUGGCGGUCUCGCCGCAGCCUCUCCUGCGCAGUAGUUUGCACACUCGCAUCGGGAGCGCGGCGCGUCCACAGCCGUUAAACACCCAACUUCUGAAAUGUUGACCUCGGA
rnacentral:rRNA from 1 species